rnacentral:rRNA from 1 species
UCCUACGGGGGGCAGCAGUGGGGAAUUUUGGACAAUGGGGGCAACCCUGAUCCAGCCAUUCCGCGUGAGUGAAGAAGGCCUUCGGGUUGUAAAGCUCUUUCGGCAGGAACGAAACGGCGACUACUAAUACUAGUUGCUAAUGACGGUACCUGAAGAAGAAGCACCGGCUAACUACGUGCCAGCAGCCGCGGUAAUACGUAGGGUGCGAGCGUUAAUCGGAAUUACUGGGCGUAAAGCGUGCGCAGGCGGUUUCGUAAGACAGCUGUGAAAUCCCCGGGCUUAACCUGGGAACUGCGGUUGUGACUGCGAGACUAGAGUCAGGCAGAGGGGGGUGGAAUUCCACGUGUAGCAGUGAAAUGCGUAGAGAUGUGGAGGAACACCGAUGGCGAAGGCAGCCCCCUGGGCUAUGACUGACGCUCAUGCACGAAAGCGUGGGGAGCAAACAGGAUUAGAUACCCGUGUAGUCCG